rnacentral:lncRNA from 1 species
UCCACUCGCUGCCUCCUCCUCCCCUCACGUUUCCUUAUCCACUCUUUUCCAUCUCCCUCUUGGCUUUUGUCUUGCUGUCCCGCUGCUCUUAUCACCCGUGCUCGCACUCCUACCGUACCGCUGGCGAGUCGUCCCUCCCACUUCCUUCCUCUCUCCCUCCCUCCCUCACCUUGCUACAACCUCUACACCUCUAUGCCAUCAGAGUGGGGGCGAUAAUGGUGGCUUGCAGCGAGCGCGGCACCUCUCUCCCUCCAUACUCUCUCUCCCUCGCUCUGCGACCUCGAUGCAUCUAGAGACGAGGAUGAUAGCGUAGCUUCGAUGAGGUAGGUGGGGAAGGAUUUGGAUCUGAGGCCUUCCUUUACCCUCCCUCCUCCUAUGGAUCUAGAUCUGAGCCCUUCUUUCCUCCUCCUCCACCUCCGCUAGCUCCUGCAGCUUCUCCUCCUCCUCCUACUCCUACUCCUCCUCUAGGUCUAGAUCUAUGGCAUAUGGUGACGGCUAAGGUUCCAGUAAGCUCUUGGGAUUUAGCGCUCGCGCGUGUUGUAAUGGUGUUCUUUGGUUGUUGCAGUAUGUUUUCAGGUGAAGCUCCAAUAGGGUAGGGUUUUAGCGAGCUCUCAGGUUCAGGUCUUAUCAUUAUUGCAAUGGUUCUCUCUAGACAUUGCAUUAGGUUUUAGUCAUUUAUUGCAGUACUGUGUUUUGAGAUGUUGUUUCAAUUGCUUCAAUCUGCAUGCUGUAUAGUUUGUUUUAUGUAGUUGCAGUAGUCGUUCGGUGUUAUUGUAGUACUAUAUCCAUGGUGUUUUAGUUGCUCUAUCCAAUGCUUUAAUAUGCACUAUUGUAUUAGUUGUUGCAUGUUGUUGCAACAACUGUUCGAUGUUGUUGUAGUACUACAUCCAUGGUGUUUCUGCUGCUCCAUCCAAUGCUUCAAUCUAUGUUGUUGUAUUAGUUGUUACAUGUUGCUGCAACAGUCAUUCAUUGUUGUUGUUGUUGUAAUACUAGGUUCAUGGUGUUCCAGCUACUCCAUCCAAUGCUUCAAUCUGUAUAUUGUAGUAGUUGUUUGCAUGCUAUUAUAGUAGUUGUUUGGUAUUUGUUGUAAUACUGUGUUUAUGAUAUUUCGGCUACUUCAACCUAUUGUUGUAGCACUAUGUCCUG